rnacentral:rRNA from 1 species
GACGAGCGCUGGCGGCGUGCUUAACACAUGCAAGUCGAGCGGUAAGGCCCUUUCGGGGGUACACGAGCGGCGAACGGGUGAGUAACACGUGGGUGACCUGCCCUCAGCUCUGGGAUAAGCCUGGGAAACCGGGUCUAAUACUGGAUAUGACUCCAUGACGCAUGUUGUGGGGUGGAAAGCCUUGUGCGGCUGAGGAUGGGCCCGCGGCCUAUCAGCUUGUUGGUGGGGNGAUGGCCUACCAAGGCGACGACGGGUAGCCGGCCUGAGAGGGCGACCGGCCACACUGGGACUGAGACACGGCCCAGACUCCUACGGGAGGCAGCAGUGGGGAAUCUUGCGCAAUGGGCGAAAGCCUGACGCAGCGACGCCGCGUGAGGGAUGACGGCCUGGU